rnacentral:rRNA from 1 species
GGUGAGGAAUUCGUCGGAAUCUGCCUUUUUGUGGGGGAUAACGUAGGGAAACUUACGCUAAUACCGCAUACGACCUACGGGUGAAAGUGGGGGACCUUAGGGCCUCACGCAGAAAGAUGAGCCGACGACCGAUUAGCUAGUUGGUGGGGUAAAGGCUCACCAAGGCGACGAUCGGUAGCUGGUCUGAGAGGAUGAUCAGCCACACUGGGACUGAGACACGGCCCAGACUCCUACGGGAGGCAGCAGUGGGGAAUAUUGGACAAUGGGCGCAAGCCUGAUCCAGCCAUGCCGCGUGUGUGAAGAAGGCCUUCGGGUUGUAAAGCACUUUUGUUCGGAAAGAAAUCUUCCAGCUUAAUACGUUGGGAGGAUGACGGUACCGGAAGAAUAAGCACCGGCUAACUUCGUGCCAGCAGCCGCGGUAAUACGAAGGGUGCAAGCGUUACUCGGAAUUACUGGGCGUAAAGCGUGCGUAGGCGGUUUGUUAAGUCUGAUGUGAAAUCCCCGGGCUCAACCUGGGACGUGCAUUGGAAACUGGCGAUCUAGAAUACGGUAGAGGGUGGUGGAAUUCCCGGUGUAGCAGUGAAAUGCGUAGAGAUCGGGAGGAACACUCGUGGCGAAGGCGGCCACCUGGACCAGUACUGACGCUGAGGCACGAAAGCGUGGGGAGCAAACAGGAUUAGAUACCCU